rnacentral:rRNA from 1 species
UACGUAGGGGGCAAGCGUUGUCCGGAAUCAUUGGGCGUAAAGCGCGCGUAGGCGGCCCGAUAAGUCCGCUGUGAAAGUCAAAGGCUCAACCUUUGAAUGCCGGUGGAUACUGUCGGGCUAGAGUCCGGAAGAGGCGAGUGGAACUCCUGGUGUAGCGGUGGAAUGCGCAGAUAUCAGGAAGAACACCGAUAGCGAAGGCAGCUCGCUGGGACGGUACUGACGCUGAGGCGACGAAAGCGUGGGGAGCGAACAGG